rnacentral:sRNA from 1 species
AUAUUUUAAAAUUUUAUAAAUAUUGAUUCAAAUACAUUCACCAUAUAACCCAAUUCCAAAAUAAAACCUGUUCUCUAAUUUCUUUGCCCAUCCCAUAAUU